rnacentral:rRNA from 1 species
GAUGAACGCUGGCGGCGUGCCUAAUACAUGCAAGUCGAACGAACAGACGAGGAGCUUGCUCCUCUGACGUUAGCGGCGGACGGGUGAGUAACACGUGGACAACCUACCUAUAAGACUGGGAUAACUUCGGGAAACCGGAGCUAAUACCGGAUAAUAUAUUAAACCGCAUGGUUCAAUAGUGAAAGACGGUUUUGCUGUCACUUAUAGAUGGAUCCGCGCCGCAUUAGCUAGUUGGUAAGGUAACGGCUUACCAAGGCAACGAUGCGUAGCCGACCUGAGAGGGUGAUCGGCCACACUGGAACUGAGACACGGUCCAGACUCCUACGGGAGGCAGCAGUAGGGAAUCUUCCGCAAUGGGCGAAAGCCUGACGGAGCAACGCCGCGUGAGUGAUGAAGGUCUUCGGAUCGUAAAACUCUGUUAUUAGGGAAGAACAAAUGUGUAAGUAACUAUGCACGUCUUGACGGUACCUAAUCAGAAAGCCACGGCUAACUACGUA